rnacentral:lncRNA from 1 species
UGUGUGCUAUUAGGAGCACGGAGGCCUCCGUGCUCGUAAGUCAUUUUUUAUGAUAGAGCUUCUGAAUCGACAAUCGGCUCCAUUAGACUUGAUCUAGCGUAUUUGAACUAUCUAGAAAAUAAUUUUUGUAAUUUUUCUAUAUCAUUUUCCUAGCGAUCGAAAGGGUUCAAAAUCAACAAUUUUUAAUGGUUGAUGUAUACCGUUUGCAAGUUUAACGGUGUAGGAGUAUUCAAAUCAGAUAAAAUUUUGAUAGAAAAUUUUUUAUACUAUUUACAGCAAGAUCAAUAUGUUUGAUCGAAAAUUUUAAUGCUAUAUCACCACUUUUUAUGAGAUUUUUAUUUUCAGCCGUUGAUUUUGAAUCCUUUCGAUCGUUAGGUAAAUGAUAUAGAAAAGUCAAAAAAUUUAUUUUCUAGAUACUUCAAAUAUGCUAGAUCAAGUCUAACGGAGCCGAUCAUCAAUUCGGAAGCUCCAUCAUCGAAAAUGGCUUAGGAGUACGGAGGCCACCGUGCUCCUAAGCCAUUUUUGAUGAUAGAGCUUCCGAAUCGACGAUCGGCUCCGUUAGACUGGAUCUAGCAUAUUGAAACUAUUUAGAAAAUAAUUUUUAUUUUUUUUCGAUAUCAUUUUCCUAGCGAUCGAAAGGGUUCAAAAUCAACAAUUUUUAAUGGUUGAUGUAUACCGUUUGCAAGUUUAACGGUGUAGGAGUAUUCAAAUCAGAUAAAAUUUUGAUAGAAAAUUCUUUAUACUAUUUACAGCAAAAUCAAUAUGUUUGAUCGAAAAUUUUAAUGUUAUAUCACCACUUUUUAUGGAAUUUUUAUUUUCAACCCGUUGAUUUUGAAUCCUUUCGGUUGUUAAGUAAAUGAUAUCGAAAAGCCAUAAAAUUUAUUUUCUACAUACUUCAAAUAUACUAGAUCAAGUCUAACAAAGCCGAUCAUCAAUUCGGAAGCUCCAUCAUUAAAAACGGCUUAGGAGCACGGAAGCCUAUGUGCUCCUAAUAGCACACAAGACCUACUCUAUAUAUAUAUAUAAAAGGAUUCAAAGAUUUACAAAAUUCUUUUAGACCCCGUUUGGUUGGGGGAAUAAGCGGGGAUAACGAAAGUUAUCCCCGCUAUUCCGCCAAACGGGAUGAAAAUUGGCCGGGAUAUUUUAUCCCGGUCAAACCUUGCUAUUCCCGGUUAUUCCGGGAUAGCAAAAAAUUUGUUAUUCCACCAUUUUAGUGGAAUAGCGCUAUUACAAUGCUUAAUUUCAAACUUAAUUAAAAUUAUAAAUUGAAUUAAAACUAAAGUAUAUAAAUAUAAUAUAUUAUAUAUUAUAAUACAUUAUUUUUAUUAUAAAAUUAUUAAUUAUACUAUAUUAAUACAUAUUAUUUAUAUUUAAAUAUUAUAAUAAAAUUUAUAAUAAAUUAUAUUUAAGUAUUAUAAUAAAUUCUUUUUAUUAAAUUUAAGUUUAAGUAGAAUUUUUAAAAAAAUCUAUAAAUUUAUUAUAAUAAAUUAUUUUUAUUAAUUGUUCCCACCCCUAUUCUUAUUUUAAAAAUUUAAAAAUUAAAAUUUUAAAUUUUUAAAAUUUAUAAUUUAUAAUCUCAAAAUUAAAGUUUAUAAUUUUAAAUUAUAAAUUAUAAAUUAUAAAUUUUAAUUUUGAUAUUUUAAUUUUGAAAUUUAAAAUUUGAUAUUUUAUAUUUAUUAAAUUUAAAUUUCAUCUUAAAUUUAAAGUUUGAAAUUUAAAAAUUUAAAUUUAAAUAUAAUAAGAGGAUAAUAUAAUUAUUUUUUAUUUAUAAAAACCCACUAUCUUCCUUAUUUUAUCGUACCUAACCAAACGCUAUUUUUUUUAAUCCCAAAAAUAAACUAAUUUUCAUCCAAACGCAAAAUUGAUCUAAUCCCCGCUUAUACUUCAAUUUAUACCUAUCCCUGGAAUAGCCACUUUUUGCUUAUCCCCGAACCAAACGAUACUUAGAUUUUAAAUAUUAAAAAAAAAAGUUGACAAGCUCUUGAAUGAUAGUUUAGAGAUGUACAUGUAGCAUUGUUUGAGUACUAAGUACACAUUAUAGCUGUAAACUAAAAGAUUUUAAGUGCCCAUCAGUACGGUUUGUAUCUACCGUAUCGUAUCGUGUUAACAAGAUAUCAUUAUAAUACAACCCUCAUGCCGAUAACACAACUCAAAAUUCUCUAUUUUUUAAAUUAAUAAAUAAUUUUUUUAAUAAAAUUUUAAAAAUUUGAUAAAGAUACAUAAUAAACAGUUAGAAUAUUUUAUUACUUAAAAAAAUAAAUAUUUUAGAUGUAUCAACACAUAUAUAUUUUUUAUGACUAGUACUCAACCGGCACGCACAGUGUCGUACUGUGCCAGCAAAUUUCCGACACAACCCUUGCCACUGUACUUAAAUUCUUGUGAUAAACUAAGAUUGCUUG